UACGGGGGGUGCGAGCGUUAAUCGGAAUUACUGGGCGUAAAGGGUGCGUAGGUGGUUUGAUAAGUUAGCUGUGAAAUUUCCGGGCUCAACCUGGAAAGGUCAGCUAAGACUGUUGGACUGGAGUAUAGGAGAGGGUAGUGGAAUUUCCGGUGUAGCGGUGAAAUGCGUAGAGAUCGGAAGGAACACCAGUGGCGAAGGCGGCUACCUGGCCUAAUACUGACACUGAGGCACGAAAGCGUGGGGAGCAAACAGG
rnacentral:rRNA from 1 species